rnacentral:pre_miRNA from 1 species
CAGGGGGGGGGGGGGAUUCUCUCAGCCUGGAUUGUGAGAAGGCACAGGACUGGCUGAGGGACCCCACCCAUGCACG